AACGAACGCUGGCGGCAUGCCUAACACAUGCAAGUCGAACGAGACCUUCGGGUCUAGUGGCGCACGGGUGCGUAACGCGUGGGAAGCUGCCCUUAGGUUCGGAAUAACUCCCCGAAAGGGGUGCUAAUACCGGAUAAUGUCUUCGGACCAAAGAUUUAUCGCCUUUGGAUGGGCCCGCGUUGGAUUAGCUAGUUGGUAGGGUAAAAGCCUACCAAGGCGACGAUCCAUAGCUGGUCUGAGAGGAUGAUCAGCAACACUGGGACUGAGACACGGCCCAGACUCCUACGGGAGGCAGCAGAGGGGAAUAUUGGACAAUGGGCGAAAGCCUGAUCCAGCAAUGCCGCGUAAGUGAUGAAGGCCUUAGGGUUGUAAAGCUCUUUUACCCGGGAUGAUAAUGACAGUACCGGGAGAAUAAGCUCCGGCUAACUCCGUG
rnacentral:rRNA from 1 species